UUUCCAUUUCUUUGGGUCUAUUGUUUCAAGAGUCUGCUAGUCGUACUGAGAGAGUCAAGUGUCUAUUUAGAAUACUGUCCUUUCUGUCAGGCCUGUUACAUUUCCCCACAUUCUGUUUUCACACCAUAACCUUGAACUUGAAACAUGCUGGUGUCUGAAACAAGUAUAAUAGACAAGAUGAAAGUUUGGAGCCAAGGUGAAGACACAUUUUUACUUAAUGCCAGGCAGCCAUGUAUAAGAACCAUUAUUUAUUUAUUUAUUUAUUUAUUUAUUUAUUUAUUUAUAUGAGCGUUGACUCUGCCCCAUGCCAGCUGCAGUACUUGGGGGCACACUACCCAGGAAGCACAGUAGUGCUGGCCCUGGAUGCAUGAAUUGAGGGUGAGCCAGCAAGAGGGUGUAAGUGUGGGAGAGCUGGCCCAGCCACUCAUGUGGUAGCAUGAAUGAGGGAAAGAUGCCUACCUCACCCCCCUCACCACCUGCAGCAGGUGGAAGAACUGGCCCUGGGGUCAUGAGAGCAAGAGAGCUGUCUCUGCCCCUCAGUGUCUGCAGCACAUAGGACAGUGGGUGCUGUACCUCACCUGAGCAGCACAGUGUAGCUGACCCUGGUGUCAGGGGUGUGUGGGGGUCAGCCCCAAGGGCGGGAGCAUGGGAGAGCUGGCCCUGCAACUUGGAUGCUGUGCAGAGGCGAGAGAGAGAGAGAGAGAGAGAGAGAGAGAGAGAGAGAGAGAGAGAGAGCUCAUACUGCUCCUAACCCCCACCCCACCCCUAUCCCACUACAUCUAUGGCCAGGGUCAUGAGAGUGGGAGAACUGGUCCUAUCUCUCAUUGGCUGCAACACUUGGGAGAGGGGUCCUACACCUCACCUGUGCAACAAAGUAGAGCUGGCCCUGGUUGUAGAGGUUGGUGUGAAUCAGCUCGGAGGGCCUGAGAUGGGGAGAGCCCCAUCCAUAGCCCCUGCCCCUUGCUCGCUGCAGCAUUGGAUGACCUAGCCGAGGCUAGGAGAGCCCAUUCUCACCAGAAUGAAUAUGGGCGAGCUGGCAGGCUCAGUAGCUCAGAUGCUUCUCAGACCCAGAUCCAGGGUUGAGUUGGCCCCUACCUCAACAUCUACCCCAUCAAUAAACUGCUGGGGCAUGGGAAGGGGUUGGCCCUACAGAUCCAAAACUAUAGGAUCCCCAUGACAUAGGACAACAACAAGAUAUCCAAGAGGAGUCCCGAUGAGUCCCAAAAUUGAUAGUGUAGCAGAAGCCUGAGGCCUUGAAACAAACCAGUGACUCAUUGAAACUGACAUUUGCAAGCAAAGAAGUGUGGACAAAGAGUACACUGUGGGACACACUAUAGCUUCCACAAUGAUAUUUUUAUUUUAUUUUUGGGAGGGAGGAAGUUCUAAGAGUGGGGGGCAGGUAUGAGGAGCUGGGGAGAUGAAAGGGAUUGGAGUAAAAGGUGUGAAAUUCACAAAUAACCAAUAAAAAGUAAAAAGCAAAAUAGAAUAAAAUAAAAUGCUGUUUAUAGCCUACAGGAAGUCAUCAUAAUUUAUUGGGCAGAGAUUUCCCUAUCAAUUACCAUACAUAAAAUAAUGGCAUAUUAUCGGCACAUUACUAAUGAUGUCUUAAAUCCAGCAAAAUGUGGUAUUUAAAUUUUUGAUUCUAGACCCUCCUAGGAUUGAUAUAUUGAGAUGAAAAGAAAAAAGAAAAGUUGGAACGGUUAAUUUUUAAUAACCUUGUGGCUUUUUGUUGCUUUUGGAGGAGCUGGCACAGCAACUGCAUCUUGUUUCAAGACAGCAUCUCAUCAUGAAACCUAAGUUGUCCUAAAACUUAAGAUCCUCCGGCCUCAGCUUCCCUGGGAUUACAAACAAAUAACUACCAAGCCCAGCAUGACAACUCUCCCUUGUCUCUGAACAACAUUCUCUAAAGACAUCAGUGAUUUACCAUCCGGUGAUUUGUGCUCCAUUGUCCCAUUACACUAGGAAAAGGUAUUGAUCCUAGUUGGUCUGAUUUGAUCCCAUGUUAUGGGUGGGCAGGAGACAAGUGUCAAAAGUUCUUGCCAACAAACCACUUAGGUCUAGUUUGAAGCAGCUGGGGUAUAGAAGGAGUAGCUCUUAAGUCGGACACACUUGAAUUAUAUUCUGUUUGUCCUGUGGAUGAUGUUCUAGCAUUUCAAAAAUGGUGUUCAGGUUUCUUUAUCAGAAGCUAUGUUUCUGUGAACAUUGCUACUUAGUAUAGAGUAUUUACAAGUAUAUAUAUUGUAUUUCCUGCACUGAGUGGGGUUACUUAAACUCCUCAGCCUGUCCCAAGGCUAGGUCUGCUCUCCCCGUUCUCAGGUUGGCUCUGGCUAUAGCCAUGGACUCCUAACACCAUUAUCCUGUCUCCUUCAUGGAGACCCUCAGACUGCAGAGACUACACAGCACCGAGCAAUACCACCUAUUGAUAAUGUUGCAUGUAUUAUCCUAGCACACUUUCAACUCUGUGGCUUUUGCAUAAUACGACCUUUAGAUACAUGGCUAUAAAUGUUUUUAGUCACAGAUGCGUAGAGCAUUAAAUGUACUAAAAUCAGUUUAAAAUUGUUACUUAUAAAGCAGUCAUGUACAGGAAUAUGUCAACACACACUGAUUCUAAACUGACUCCUGAUUUUGUUAAAGCAGUUUACUGGGUGGCCAAAACACAAACAGACAAAAAACAUAAAACAAUCUUUUUGACAAAACAUAAAUCUUGUCUUAAGUUUGUCAUAAAAUGUUAUUCAGAGUAAAUAAUCUCUGUAAGAGCACCCUGUUGCUUUAAACAUAGGAAUUAGCUCCUAGUUUUCAUUGGUAUCUUUAUAUUAGGACACUAAAAAUUUUGACAUGGGUGUAUUUUAUUUUAUUUGUUCUUAAACUGUAGUUUUUAUAGUUGGGGUGAGGUAUUAAUUUCUUUAUUAUAUGUUUAGCAUUGCUCUAAAUGUGUGUUAAAGACAGACUAAACUUUAUAAAGAAAGGUCCUACUAUAUGAAUUAUAUUAUUAAGUUUAAAAUUGUCGGAAGAUCAUAGUUAGUCAUAUGUAUAUCACACUCUCUGAGGAACCCUUCCCCACUCCCUCCCUCUCUUCUUUUCCCUCCCUCCCUCCCUCCCUCCCUCAUUACUAUUAUAAAAAAUUAGAAGGAACUGUACGAUACUUCCAUGUCUCUGAGACCUUUAAACAACCAGGGACGCAUCUCACAUAAGGACUCACAUAGAUUAAUCAUAAUUUUCAGUAUGCAACAUUAGGCACUAGCCUCAGGUCAUGAGGAACUGAGUCAGGCUGUACCAGGCAGUAAGCCCUAGCCAUAAAUGGCUUAGCCUCAUCCUGACAGAUCAGUUCCACCUGCAGAAACAAUAUGACUGUGUAUCCAAACCACCCAGGCUGCUUCCAGCCAAGCCACAAAACAUGGAUGUAACUUCCUGGUUGUUACGUGUGUGUGUGUGUGUGUGUGUGUGUGUGAAUCCUUAGCCCCCACACACAGCCUCUCUAGUCUCCCUAAGCAUGCUCAAUCUUCAUCCCAUUGAGACCUCUCACUGUUCCAGUAAGGCAGUCUCAUCCUGUUGUGGCAGUCUGCCUUUCUCUGCCUCUGUUUGCCUUUUAACUUCCUCCAGGCAGAGAGCCCUCCUUUCCCCUUCCCUGGGGUCAUGCAUCUGGGAGCAUGGACACCCUCUAAGCUCACUAUACAGGUGAAAGAGCCACCUGUCUGAUGAAGACCUCUGGUCUUUUGUGGCCUCUGCCUCCAUGAGCAGUGCAAGUCUCGUGGUCAGAAGAUUCCAUUGUUGGGACUUUAUUGGUGCUUUGUGUAAACCCAAUUCGACCCCAGUGGCUUUUGCUCUCUUCCAAAAGAAGACAUCUUCCUCAUCCAUCUUCCUCUGACCCCUCCUCCCAGACUUUCUGACCUCCAGGCUGAGGGCCCUUGGUCCUUUAGAUGCUGACAUCCACAUCUAAGUUCUGCAGGACAAGGUGACUCAGUAGGCUCUGACUCAGAGGUGCCCAACCCGAGCCCAGAAGCUCCAGGAGUCUCACUCGUCCAGAUCAAAAAGUCUUAGAGGUCCCAGGAACCUCGCAAGUUUCUACUGAGUGUAUGGCUUCCCCAAACCUUGGGAGCUGAAGGACACUGACCUCCCAACUCUCAUUUUCUUCUUUCCCCAAAACCUAGGGUACUCCUCAAGUGAGUUUGGCAGAAAUUCCCAUUCUCUUUGGGUCCUAUUUCAAUCCUCUGAUAGAUUGAGAGGCACAAGUGUCUAUUUAGAAUAGACACUUCAUUUCUUCUGGGCAAAGAAGAAAAUUUUAUUUUAAGGGACAUGGAGAGGAAAAGGAAGCACAAAAAAAGUCACAAAAUAUAUACAUAAUAAACUGUAUAGUUCCUGAAAAUCAGCUUAGUUAUUAAUUUAAGUUGUCCUAAAUUAUCUUGCCUUUAAGGAGGCUUUUAUUUUCAAUUAAAUUUAUAACUAUUUGUAAUUAAACUUACAACUAAAUUUAAUUGCCAUAGAUAUAAGGCAUGUUCAUGCAACGUGACUUCAAUCAAUUUUCAAUUAUUUCUCCACAAAGCUUUAAGAAAAAAGACAAGGGGGCUUUGGAGUUUUAUAUACAGAUCUUGGCUUUUGUGAACUGGUAAGAUAAGAAAUACGCUUAUUUGAAUAAUUUUCAAGUUAUUGAAAUAAUGUGUGAGGGUUUUUUUCUUCUGAAAACAGAAUAGUUUUUGGUGAAAUACAUAUGUAGACAGAGCCAUUAAGCCAUACUUUGUCUUCUCUGUCUAAAAUCUUGAUGAAAUGUUCCCUGCUGCUAAAAAAUCAGAGUGUGCACUGAACAGCUAAGCUCUCUCCAUCAGUGAAUUAAAGACUCUUUUGUUGCAAUGUAAAUGCAGUAGUUUGCAGUGCUUUAAAAACUCUGUGAGCAAAAACUGGGUGACUUUACUACCUUGACAUUUCUGUGACAUUAAGUGCGGAACUAAACUCCCAAGUGAGGCCCAGAGCCACUUCCUGCAGAGGGGAGCAGGAACCCAGCCCUGCACUUCAGCUCACUUCAGAAUGGACAGCCAGAGAAGCAAGAUCUGGAGCAGUGCUUUGGAAGGUCAUGGUAGAGAGAAAAAUGUACAGCAGAUGACCAGGCCUGGUUUGUUUGGAUGUUAGACUGGAUCAUUUUGGAGCUAGGAUCAGUUUGAAGAAGAACUUUCUUCUCCCAGAAGCAGGAGGCGUUUCAAAGGAAAGAGAUGACCUUGGGACUGAGAAUUGGCAAUGUGCCAAUACCUGGCCACCACAUAGGAGUGGAGUGACAUUCUCACUGUGGCAUCUGCUGCUUGUACCAGAAUUCCAACCAUUAAAAGGAAUAUCAGAAUUGGAAAUGCUGCUACUGUGUUUGUUGGAACAUGAUCAGAAGAAUGGCGCAUGGUGAACAAGGCCUUGGGGAACUUAAAGAGGCUCCAGGAAAAAAGCAGAGGGCCUUUUACCUCAGAAUUGUCACGUAGCUGUCAUCAGAGAAGCUCCCGGUCGGUGGGAAUCAACGUGAGACCCACAACUUGACAAUUACGGAGACUGGGGAACUUUGGGACACUGGGUAGUCUUUAUUAAACCCCUUCCCUCGAUGCUCGGGGAUCUAUGCGGGAGAGGAGGAAGAAAGUCUGUAAGAGCCAGAGGUGAUGACUCACUGCAAGGAAAGUGUCUUCCAAGCACAGCAGGGCUGGUGCACAUAUGAACUCACAGAGACUGUGGCGGUAGCCACAAGACUCUCACAGGUUCUAACCAGGAAAAACGUUAUGACUGAAAAGGGAAGUGGACACAAAAUCCCAUCCUUUACCAGGAAGUGAUUUACAACUGAUACUUGCUGAGAAAGGGGAAAUCGGCUUUCUCCAGUGAAACGACACUGAGGAUAUCAGCCACACUCCAGGUAUUCUUCAUAAAGCCCAGGAGUAGUUAGGUAAUACAAAAUAGACUCUUAAAA